rnacentral:rRNA from 1 species
AUUGAACGCUGGCGGCAUGCCUUACACAUGCAAGUCGAACGGUAACAGGUCUUCGGAUGCUGACGAGUGGCGAACGGGUGAGUAAUACAUCGGAACGUGCCUAGUAGUGGGGGAUAACUACUCGAAAGAGUGGCUAAUACCGCAUGAGAUCUACGGAUGAAAGCAGGGGAUCGCAAGACCUUGUGCUACUAGAGCGGCCGAUGGCAGGUUAGGGAGUUGGGGGGAUAAAAGCUUACCAAGCAGACGAUCUGUAGCUGGUCUGAGAGGACGAUCGGCCACACUGGGACUUAGACACGGCCCAGACUCCUACGGGAUGCAGCAGUGGGGCAUUUUGGACAAUGGGCGAAAGCCUGAUCCAGCAAUGCCGCGUGCAGGAUGAAGGCCUUCGGGUUGUAAACUGCUUUUGUACGGAGCGAAAAGCCCCGGGUUAAUACCCUGGGGUCAUGACGGUACCGUAAGAAUAAGCACCGGCUAACUACGUGCCAGCCGCCGCGGUAA